rnacentral:rRNA from 1 species
GUAGGGAAUAUUGCGCAAUGGACGAAAGUCUGACGCAGCGACGCCGCGUGAGUGAUGAAGGCCUUAGGGUCGUAAAGCUCUGUUGAAUGGGAAGAAAAAAAUGACGGUACCAUUCGAGGAAGGACCGGCUAACUUCGUGCCAGCAGCCGCGGUAAUACGAGGGGUCCUAGCGUUGUUCGGAAUCAUUGGGCGUAAAGGGUGUGUAGGUGGCCAUGUAAGUCAGGUGUGAAAGCCUCGGGCUCAACCCGGGAAGUGCACUUGAUACUGCGUGGCUUGAGUACCGAAGAGGGUAGUGGAAUUCCAGGUGUAGUGGUGAAAUACGUAGAUAUCUGGAGGAACACCGGUGGCGAAGGCGGCUACCUGGUCGAGUACUGACACUGAGACACGAAAGCAUGGGGAUCAAACAGGAUUAGAUACCCUGGUAGUCC